UUCAGAUAAUUCUAAAAAAAAAAAGAAAUUCAAAUAUUAGUCUAAUUAGGUCAAGCAACUUCAGAAUCUUAUCCGCACUCCGCCGUCUUCUUGAAGAGCUUCAGCUUCCUCACCUCAGUCCCUAUUCCCUAAUCCCAAUUCCUCACCUCAAUCCCUAAUCCCAAUUCCAAAUCAAACCUAUUUGGGUUGCUAACUCCAGCCAUUUCUUUUGUCUAUUGUCAUCAUCCACCGAUUGGAAGUGGAUUGUGCUGCCGUGCAGCUAGCGGAAGGUGGAUCUUGGAAGCAGGUGCAGGCGUGCCGCGUGCAGAAGGUAAACGGAAGGAUUUAUAAUUGGAGAUUUGCACGAAUAAUUAAUCGCAGCUGGAGAAUGAGAAAAGAUACAGAGAGGACAGAUUUCCCUUGUUAUCAUCCAUCACUGAUAAUUGUCUUGCAAGUUUCGAACGGCAAAAAAUUCCGACCAAACAGUGACAUACGGUACCAACUGCUUACACCUAAAGGCCGAGAUAUAAGAGAAGGAUGUAACAACAGAAAGAAGGUACGUCCACAUAUCUUUUGUCGGUAAAAUGUAAAAACCUUCUCUCGUCUAUUUCUACAGGUUGUCCACCUUGCUAUCUCAAAGAAAUAUCAGCUUCAGUUAAGAUCAACAUAAGGUUGCAGAUAUCAACCUCUGCUUUAGCAUUACAUCAGCCUGCUGGAACUGUUUCAUUGAAACUUAAAAGCCUUUCUUAUUGAGGAAAAAAUCAUAGGUACUAGCUAAAAAUACUGACUAGCGCAACAAGUCAACUAGCUCCCUCAUUGCUUCCUAAUCCAAGCAGCAAGGAUGAAGUAUACUGGACUACACAUGCCUCUGAUUGGUUUGCCACUAAUUCAGCCAUGGCAGUGACUAGAACCAAGGGGGACAAGGUGGCUUGGUUUAAACUUGUGCGAGGACAAGGUGCAUUUCCACGUUACUCUUUUAUGGUUUGGCUAUUAUGCAAAAGGAAGCUGUCCAGAAAAGACAGACUUACGGCUUGGGGAAUUCCUACGGCUUAUGACCUCUGUGAGCUUUGUAAAGGAGAAGUUGAAACCAUGGACCAUAUAAUUUUUUAUUGCCCAGUAUCAAGCAUAGUAUGGCAAAAGGUGUAAAAUUUUCCCAGUUGAAAAUGGUUGUGUGAUCAUUGUAGCUCAAACUCUUUUACGGACCAGGUGAGGAGACUUGUGCUUUUGGAGUUUGCUAGCGUAGUGUAUCAAUUGUGGUGAGCAAGAAACCAAGCUAUUUUUCAGCAAGUUUCGGUAUUUGCUGUUAGCAUGAUUGUCUGCUGUCCUUGAUUCUAUGAAAGAUAUAGUUGGGAGCUGGAGACGCAUGCCUUUAACUACGCAAAACUGGGGCUUGGCUGUCCAGCUGGGGCUACCUAAUGUGUGUUUCAAUCGAUAAGUAUUCUGGUUAACUGAUGAAUGUGGCAUCAUUUUGUGUAAUAGUUAUAGUGCUAGCUGCUUACAUAGUUGGAAUGAGUACAUUCCUUUGCGUACACGUUCAUUGCUGAUCAAUAAAGAUUCAGCGUUGCUCAAAAAAAAAAAAAAAAUGCUGACCAUAUUUCU